GAUGAAGAACGUAGCAAAAUGCGAUAAGUAAUGUGAAUUGCAGAAUUCAGUGAAUCAUCGAAUCUUUGAACGCACAUUGCGCCCGCUGGUAUUCCGGCGGGCAUGCUUGUUCGAGCGUCAUUUCAACCCUCAAGCCCCCGGGUUUGGUGUUGGGGAUCGGCUCUGCCCUUCUGGGCGGUGCCGCCCCCGAAAUACAUUGGCGGUCUCGCUGCAGCCUCCAUUGCGUAGUAGCUAACACCUCGCAACUGGAACGCGGCGCGGCCAUGCCGUAAAACCCCAACUUCUGAAUGUUGACCUCGGAUCAGGUAGGAAUACCCGCUGAACUUAAGCAUAUCAAUAAGCGGAGGA
rnacentral:misc_RNA from 1 species